GGUCUUGUAAUUCAGUUGGUUAGAGUGUUGGUCUUAUGAGCUGAAAGUCGUGGGUCAAGCCCCAUCAUGACCA
rnacentral:tRNA from 1 species